UUAACUCAGUGAUAGAGUAAUCCCAUGGUAAGGCGUAAGCCCUCGGUUCA
rnacentral:tRNA from 1 species